rnacentral:lncRNA from 1 species
GUGUUAUAUGAUUCCAUGUAAAUAUGAGGGUCUAAAAGGGAGGUUCUUAUUUCUGAAUAAUUUAAUAUUUCAUUCUAAUUUUUGGUUUUAUAAUGAUAGUAAAUCCGACUAUCCGAGAUGAUAUCGCGGACUUUCAUCUACAUGUACCUAUCGUAACGGACAGAUCGGGUUGGUUUGUUGUGCGUUUUGCCUUCGUCUUGCAUCGACUUCGUUGAGGAGUCUGGUAUGUUGUUUCUGUAAUAUUUUUUUGUCAUUUUUUUCUCUCUAUUUUACUUACUUUGCCAUGGCACUAAUCUUCCAUUCGUUAUAUUGGAACCCGCUGUAGUUUCCUUCACUUUCACUAUUCCUCAUUUUUGAUUAUUUUUCUGUAUUCCUGGCGCAGAAAUCUCUAUAUUGUAACCCCAUUCAGACCCUCGUGUGUUCACAUGAAAGUAAGGAAAUUAAUAAUUUGAAUAGCUUUAUUAUUGGAUUUACAGUUCAUCCGAAACUGAAGGACUCUACUUGAUACAAAUGGCGUUGAAGUCACGUUAUGUCCUUCAUACUAAAACAGCAUAUUAAAAUGAAAUAGUGUCCUUGUAUGUUCAAGUACGACACUUAAAUUAGUAUCCGACCGGAGAAAUAUUUAGAUGGUUCUUUUCCC